rnacentral:rRNA from 1 species
ACGGGAGCAGCAGUGGGGAAUAUUGGACAAUGGGGGAAACCCUGAUCCAGCGACGCCGCGUGAGUGAAGAAGUAUUUCGGUAUGUAAAGCUCUAUCAGCAAGGAAGAAAAUGACGGUACUUGACUAAGAAGCCCCGGCUAACUACGUGCCAGCAGCCGCGGUAAUACGUAGGGGGCAAGCGUUAUCCGGAUUUACUGGGUGUAAAGGGAGCGUAGACGGUCAUGCAAGUCUGAAGUGAAAGCCCGGGGCUCAACCGCGGGAUUGCUUUGGAAACUGUAGGACUAGAGUGCAGGAGAGGUAAGUGGAAUUCCUAGUGUAGCGGUGAAAUGCGUAGAUAUUAGGAGGAACACCAGUGGCGAAGGCGGCUUACUGGACUGUAACUGACGUUGAGGCUCGAAAGCGUGGGGAGCAAACAGGAUUAGAUACCCUGGUA